rnacentral:rRNA from 1 species
UACGUAGGGUGCGAGCGUUGUCCGGAAUUAUUGGGCGUAAAGGGCUCGUAGGCGGUUUGUCGCGUCGGGAGUGAAAAACCCAGGGCUUAACUCUGGGCUUGCUUUCGAUACGGGCAGACUAGAGGUAUGCAGGGGAGAACGGAAUUCCUGGUGUAGCGGUGAAAUGCGCAGAUAUCAGGAGGAACACCGGUGGCGAAGGCGG